rnacentral:rRNA from 1 species
UACGAAGGGUGCAAGCGUUACUCGGAAUUACUGGGCGUAAAGCGUGCGUAGGUGGUUUGUUAAGUCUGUUGUGAAAGCCCCGGGCUCAACCUGGGAAUGGCAAUGGAUACUGGCAAGCUAGAGUGCGGUAGAGGGUAGUGGAAUUCCCGGUGUAGCGGUGAAAUGCGUAGAGAUCGGGAGGAACACCAGAAGCGAAGGCGACGACCUGGAUAGAUACUGACACUCAACUGCGAAAGCGUGGGGAGCAAACAGG